rnacentral:rRNA from 1 species
AGUGAACGCUGGCGGUAUGCCUAACACAUGCAAGUCGAACGGCAGCACAGUAAGAGCUUGCUCUUACGGGUGUCGAGUGGCGGACGGUUGCGUAAUACAUCGGAAUCUACUUUUUCGUGGGGGAUAACGUAGGGUAACUUACGCUAAUACCGCAUACGACCUACUGGUGAAAGCAGGGGAUCUUCUGACCUUGUGCGAUUGAAUGAGCCGAUGUCGGAUUAGCUAGUUGGCGGGGUAAAGGCCCAACAAGGCGACGAUCCGUAGCUGGUCUGAGAGGAUGAUCAGCUACACUGGAACUGAGACAGGGCCCAGACUCCUACGGGAAGCAGCAGUGGGGAAUAUUGGACAAUGGGCGAGAGCCUGAUCCAGCCAUACCGCGUGGGUGAAGAAGGAGUUCGGGUUGUAAAGCCCUUUUGUUGGGAAAGAAAAGCAGCAGGUUAAUACCCCGCUGUUCUGACGGUACCCAAAGAAUAAGCACCGGCUAACUUCGUG